rnacentral:rRNA from 1 species
GACGGAGGGUGCAAACGUUGUUCGGAAUCACUGGGCAUAAAGCGCACGUAGGCGGUUCGCUAAGUCGGACGUGAAAGCCCCCGGCUCAACCGGGGAAUGGCAUCCGAUACUGACGAACUCGAGGGCGGUAGGGGUGAGUGGAACUCCAGGUGGAGCGGUGAAAUGCGUAGAUAUCUGGAGGAACACCGGUGGCGAAAGCGGCUCACUGGACCGUGUCUGACGCUGAGGUGCGAAAGCCAGGGUAGCGAACGGG